GUGAAUGGUAAUUUCGAUUGACAGCACGAAAGUUUGAUGAAAACAAAUGAAAAAGCGGCAAACAAAUAAAAUCAGCGAUGUCCGACAACAAAAAGCGCAGCACUUGGAGCACCAGCGAUGAAAAAGUGCUCCUGGAACUAUGGGCCGA